CACGUAGGGGGCAAGCGUUGUCCGGAUUUAUUGGGCGUAAAGAGCUCGUAGGCGGUUCGGUAAGUCGGGUGUGAAACCUCCAGGCUCAACCUGGAGAUGCCACCUGAUACUGCUGUGACUCGAGUCCGGUAGGGGAGCGUGGAAUUCCUGGUGUAGCGGUGAAAUGCGCAGAUAUCAGGAAGAACACCCGUGGCGAAAGCGGCUCUCUGGAACGGUACUGACGCUGAGACGCGAAAGCGUGGGGAGCGAACAGG
rnacentral:rRNA from 1 species